GGAAGGCAGUGAACAGACAGACCUGGAAGCAAAGGGCAGGAGGGAACAGAAGAGAGCUUCCCAAGCCAUCUGCAAGAUCUGCCCCAAUUAAGAAAAAGAUCUCCUGUUUGGCUGCAGAAGAGAUGACCCGGAGAAUCAAAUCCUGCAGUGUGCUAACCUGUGCCGCUCUGGGAAAUGUGGGAUAUCCCCUCACAUGUGGUGCAGCGCCAGUGAGGAUACAGCUGCCCUGAGGUCAGCCUGCUUCUGCUGUGAGGACACAGGAGUGAAAUGGAGGUGUGAAAUACCCACACUCUGGAUGGACUCUGAAGUGAGGAGUGCUCUGCGUACGUAGACUGGUGCUGGCAGCCUGGUGCUCUGCAGCACUGGGAUGCACGCUAGCUGUUCAGCCAUUCAGCUCUCGCUUGGAUGCAGCCUCUGUCUGGACAUAUCCAGUGUCAGCUCUGAGACCUCAGCUGAAUGGUGUUCUGCUCCUCCUGCCUUAGCUCAACAUCACAAGGCAGCGCUUCCAAAGUCAUUCGUUGUUUGAGCUGUGCUGUGUGACAG
rnacentral:lncRNA from 1 species